rnacentral:lncRNA from 1 species
ACCACACUAUAUGAGAUAUGGUACGGUAAGAAGUCGAGUCUAGAUUAUCUUAAGACUUAGGGAUGUUCGACCUAUGUCAAGAGACAGUGGCUAAUAAACUAGAGAAUAGAUCUGUAAUAGCUCAUUUCAUAGGAUAUCUAAAAGAAUCAAUGGGAUACUACUACUUUCCACAAGAUCAUAAUGUGAUUGUGAGUUGGAAUGUCAUAUUCCUGAAAAAAUAGUUUAUCCAGGAUGGUGGUAGUGGAAGGUUAGUUGAGCUCGAAGA